CUUAUACUCCCUCCGUCCCAUAUUAAGUGACUUUCUAUUACAUGUAUCUAGACGCUUUUUAGGCAUAGAUACAUCCAUAUUUGGACAAAUUUGAGUCACUUAAUAUGGGACGGAGGGAGUAUUAG
rnacentral:pre_miRNA from 1 species